GUGCGGGCUAGCCUGGAGGGCCCGGCGUCCUUUGCAACUCGAAAUCGUCGAUAUGCGAGAGGCGAAGCUCGAGGAAGGCUCUGUAGCUAUCAACUUCAGCUUGAGGUUGGACGAAGACGUACCGUCCUGCGGGGUUGACGGUGGUAUGGUGGCUUGCUGGAGAGCUUACUGCCAUGCCUCUGCCGUGGAGACCGGUUUAGGCCCGGAAGGGAGCAGACUUACCGCGGACGUCGGCGCUCGCGGGGCAGCGGUGCCGAGAAAGACCUCGAGGGUCUGAUUGGUAGCGAAGGUGUCGACCGAGAGCGUGCCCGCAC
rnacentral:SRP_RNA from 1 species